GAUGAACGCUAGCUACAGGCUUAACACAUGCAAGUCGCGGGGCAGCAUCAGGUUAGCUUGCUAACCUGGAUGGCGACCGGCGCACGGGUGAGUAACGCGUAUCCAACCUGCCCUCCACCAGGGGAUAGCCCCGCGAAAGCGGGAGUAAUGCCCUAUGCCCUCACGCAACGUCAUCGGCGCGUGAGGAAAGGAGCGAUCCGGUGGCGGAUGGGGAUGCGUCUGAUUAGGCAGUUGGCGGGGUAACGGCCCACCAAACCGACGAUCAGUAGGGGUUCUGAGAGGAAGGUCCCCCACAUUGGAACUGAGACACGGUCCAAACUCCUACGGGAGGCAGCAGUGAGGAAUAUUGGUCAAUGGUCGCAAGACUGAACCAGCCAAGUAGCGUGAGGGAAGACUGCCCUAUGGGUUGUAAACCUCUUUUAUCUGGGGAUAAAGUGAGCCAGUGUGGCUUAUUGCAGGUACCAGAAGAAUAAGGACCGCUAAUUCCGUGCCAGC
rnacentral:rRNA from 1 species